GAUAGAAUUCAAAACAAACAUUAUCAUGUAUUUUUUUCGGGAUUUCUGCGUAUUUAAAAUGCAGUUUUAAAAAGUGACAAGUGAUCAAAACAAUAAUGAAGGACUCCUGGUGGAAUUUUUCGGUGCAGACUGUGGAGCUAUGUAAUGUUAUUUCCAGGGCUCACAAUCAGAAUGAUGGCAGCAAUUUUCGAUGGAGUUAAAACCUUGGAAUGCUGAGGGAAUUGGUGAGCUUCCGGCAGUUUUUGGAACCAUAAAAAAAUGGACGAGCAGCUGAUGUCUAAAUCACAAAAGGCCGUCCCGUGCACUUUUGGAUUUAAUUCUGCGUGGCCAAGGACCGAUAGAGCAGUGUUUGAAAAUUUCACCUCGACUUGGAACCACAGGAUGAGCUGAAAAUGGAUUCCCCUCUGUAUACCAGCUGCAAUUGGGUACUAAUUUUCCCAAUCAUUAACCUAGGAUGGCGCCCAAAGAAUUGUUGCCGAAUGAAGACGAUAGUCCGAAACUGGAACUGAUCAAGGCAUAAGGCUUGGUAAAGUUGGAGAAGCAAAAGGACAUAUGAGCUAGCUUGAUAGCUUCAUCUCUCAGCUGAAGCCUAAAUGAUGCAGGAUUUUGGUAAUGUUUACUGUGCCCUUGUUGGCUUCAUAUAGUGAGACUGAAAACCAGGGCCAAGUUAAAAGUAAUUUUUUGGGGAAUGAUUUGAGGCACUUAAGCAUUUAAAGAAUAGCUGAUUAUAUUUUUGAAUUAAUAUAAGAAGAAAAUAAUCAUAAUAAAUCUAUUUUCCUUCGUGAA